CUUUUUUCAAAGUCACAUCUUUCCUAUAGCUACUCUUCCAUUGACAUCCUCCUCCUAUUUUUCUUCUGCAAACAUGAUUCAAAGAGCUACUUUUUUUCGCAAAUUAGUUGAAUCUUCUUCUCUACCAUCAAAGGUUGGAGCAAGGUACUCUACAGCUCAGGCUGCAACUCUUUUACAACCUAUUGUUCAAAGUGAUGAUGAUGAGUCCAUUGACAUUGAUUGGGAGAAUCUUGGGUUCCAUUUAAUGCCAACUGAUUUUAUGUACCUAACAAAAAGUUGUGAAGAUGGUCAUUUCAAAAAAGGCCAGCUUAAUCCUUAUGGCAACAUCCAAUUGAGCCCCUCUGCUGGAGUCUUAAACUAUGGACAGGGUCUCUUUGAAGGUACAAAAGCUUAUAGAAGAGAUGAUGGAGGUUUGUUUCUGUUUCGUCCUCACCAAAAUGCAAUGAGAAUGCAGAUUGGUGCUGAAAGAAUGUGCAUGCCUUGCCCUUCCAUUGAUCAAUUUGUGGAUGCUGUGAAGCAAACUGCUCUGGCUAACAAGCGUUUUAUUCCUCCUCCGGGAAAAGGGUCUCUUUAUAUAAGGCCUUUGCUUAUAGGAAGUGGACCAAUUCUUGGAUUGGCUCCAGCACCAGAGUACACCUUCCUUGUCUAUGCUUGUCCUGUUGGAAAUUAUUUCAAGGAAGGGAUAGCUCCAUUGAACUUGUAUGUUGAGGAAGACCUUCAUCGUGCCUCUCGUGGUGGAGCUGGAGGUGUCAAAAGCAUUACUAAUUAUGCCCCGGCUUUGAGAGCCAUAAAGAGCGCAAAAGAGAGAGGAUUCUCUGAUGUAUUGUACCUUGACUCAGUAAAUAAGAGAUACAUUGAAGAGGUCUCUUCAUGUAACAUUUUCCUUGUGAAGGGAAAAGUCCUAUCAACUCCAGCAACAUGUGGAACUAUUCUUGAAGGAGUGACACGAAAAAGUAUUAUGGACAUUGCACGUGAUCUUGGCUACCAGCCAAUGUGGUCCAGGUUGAAGAACGUUUAAUUGAAGUGGAGGAAUUGAUAAAUGCUGAUGAAGUUUUUUGUACGGGAACUGCAGUUGGCGUUGCUCCUGUAGGUAGCGUCACUUACAAAGGCAAAAGGAUUGAGUACAAGGAAGAGCUAACAAGUAAGCUAUUGUACUCAAGAUUAAUUGGGAUUCAAAGAGGUAUUAUUGAGGACAAGAGGGACUGGAUUGUGGAGAUUGAUUGAGCUUUUUUGACUUAAGGUUUUUUUUUUUCAAGUAAAAUAUAGUUUGGAAUGUACUAAAGAUUAGUUAAGUAUGAAUUAAUUUCUACCAUUUACCGCCUUAAAAAUCAAAUUACUGGCGGAGCCAAAAUUUUAUUACAAGAGGAUUCAAAGA